CCAAAUGAGGGAUUGCAGUGUAGUGGUGAAGAGUGGGGCAGGACUACCUGUUUCUAAUUCUGGUUCUGCCUCCUUAACUUUCCUUACCUCUCUGUGUCCCAGUAGCCUCAUCUGUAACAUGGGAAUGAUAAUUAGAACAUGUAUUUUCUGGGGGUUUUGAAAAGGAAAUGGAUUAGUACAUUUAAAAGGCUUAGAAUAGAGAUCAACUCAUGGUAAGCACUAAAUGAAUGUUAAUCAUUGUUAACAGGACAAGUCUGAUUGGGUGCAGAUGUUAACAUUGGACGCAAACAUUCAAGACUGACCUCUUAACAUGCAAAGACGCAGUCCUUGUUUGUGAAGUGCCUACAGUCUUGCAGAGGUGAUAUAUAAACAGAUGCCUCCCAGCUGGAGCUGGGACUGAGAAGUCACCUGCAGAAUGUUGAGACUCACUCUCCUUCCAUCCCCAUAAGAAGAAAAAAAAAAUCUUCUGUGGUUAAAUUUCAUGAGCCAUUUAACUCUCCAGCAGCCAUUUGGUCUUUGCUGUUUCUGUUUUGUGGAUGAAUUUAUUUUAUGUGUUAUUUCCCCCUUAAAUUUUAAGGAUAUGUAUCUUCAUGAAAAGAACAAAGGAAGAAAAACAACUUGUAAAUUAUCACAAGAAAAACCCCUGCUAAAAGCAAUAAGUUUGCUGACAGAUGGCAGAAUCAGUUGAAAAGCGAGUACCAUAUUUACUAAGUCUAACCCAUUUAGUAAGCCAAAAAAGUGUUAUCUAAUUCUAUCCCCUGUGUAUGCAUGUGUUUUGGAAUAAACAGAUGCCUAAUGA